CAAGUUGAGAAGAAACCUGUACUGCUACAGUACCUCUUGUUGUUCUUGUUGGUUUUGUCCUCGUCUUGGCCUUUGUUUCUGGGUGUUCUCCUUGCUUUUGUUCUGGCUUUUUGCCCUGGCCUUUCUUGACUUUUUUUGUUUCUCCCCUUCCUAACAAUAAUGGUCAUGUUGUUUUCCCUUACUCAUCAUUGCCUUCAUCAUUGUACUUGAUUGCAGGCGGCGAUGCAGAAUUCUGCCAGUGCUGAGUGCCAUGUCACCUGCAGUGAGCAAUCUGCAGCUCUCUGUUCAAACAGGGUAGGACAUGAAGCUUUCUGUCCUGCCAUGGCUUGGAUCUUACUUUGGGACUGACUUGGGCUUCCCCCAAGAGGAAGGGGCAGUGCACAUCCAGAUCUGUUUCCUUAUUCUAGACCUUGAUCCAAUGGAGUUGUCCCAGAGAUUCUUCUAGUCCAUUAGGCUGACUUACAGACAGACAAUCUUUUUCUUACCGCUUUCUACUUCCUUGCUCUCAGUGUUCUCUUUGUUUUGGAGUUGUUUCUUUUGGGUUGAGCCUCUUGUUCUUCAUGAGUUUAGCCUCUUCUUCUCUUUUUCUUCUCUUGUUUAUUGGGUUAGUCUCUUGUUUUCUCUUUCUUUAUCAGUGUUGCCUCUUGUUUUCUUUUCUCCUUGUUCAUCAGUUUAGCCUCUCCUCAUUUUCAUCUGUUUAGCUUCUUGUUCUGUUUGCUGCUUCUUCAUCUGUUUAGCAUCUUUUUGUCUUCUUCAUAGUUUCAGCUUCUUUUUGUCUUCUUGUUCUUCAUUGGUUUAGCCUCUGCUUCUCUGCGGGUGCAGUCGAGCCUGUGGAUCGUAGAGAUGGGUGCGCUCGCCCCAGGUGUCUCGCUGUGGUGCUGCUGGUAAGAGCAGUGUGCACAGGUUGCAGCCCCUGCAUGUGCAGGGCCAAGCCUUCAUUAUUGUAUUGUGUUCAACGGGUGGCAGCAAGGAACUGUGGUGCUUCUGGGCGGUGUCAGAACAGCAUGGAGAUCUGUGCCUCUUCAUGAAGUCAGCAAGAAAUGGAAAGCUCCAUUUCCUGGGAUGCCGCAGACCUCAGCUUUCCUGACUCUGUGCUGGUUGUUGUAAUGGACUAUCCCGGAGUACUUGGGCAAGCUGAUUUCUCAGAUGCCUCGAAGCAAGUCUGCAAAGUUCCUGGGUUCGGUUGUCUUCCCACCGCAUAACUGUGUGUUCCAUCGAAGAGAAGAAUGUCUGUUGUGUCGGCUCUUCCAAGCAGCAUUGCAUGAAGAGAUGGAGUGGGUUGUAGCCUGGGAUGCAGCCCUGCUGUUGCACUGGUUUGGACAGAUUCUAGAAUUGAAGCGGUUCUCAUGUGAUGUCCCAUGCUAACUUGCAGAUCAUGCUACACCGUCCCUGCGUUCUGCUCAUCCUGUUUCAUGUUAGUCCUUUGAGCAAUCUGGAAAGGAGGAAUUAACUUUGUUUGUUAGGAAUUAAGCAGUUCUUCUGUAGUCUGUACUUCCUUGCUCAGCGAGGCACUAUUUUUGAUCUCACACAAUGCCUUCCUAAAAUGCAGUCCAGUCUAACUUGCUGUGCCCGCCUCCUCGCUGCCCCAAGGACCUUGAAUGCCAGCAUGCCAC